rnacentral:lncRNA from 1 species
UCCACUAGUGCAAUUCUACCUCCCAGAGAGAGUACAGUACAUAGAACCGAAUAGAAUAACCAGAUCAAUCAUCGAUCCAAAAAUGGAUCUCAAAUCUGGACACUACACUUCUUCCUCACAAAAUCGGCCAUAGCUACACAUAUGAUAGAUUACUCACACAAACGGCAUCCAAGUUAUUGUAUCACACAAGAUUCACAAGAAUCUAUCCAGAGAAUAAUAAUCUCCAGUUUCUACAGGCCAAGAAGAAAGGGAGAAAAUUUUCUCUCAAAAAUGAAGAGAGGGAGAGAGAGAGGAGAAAAUAUUCAAAAGUCAAGUCUGAAAAACCACACCGCAGCCCUAUCCUUCAGAAGACUAAGGGCCAGCUAUUUUUCAUCUCCACCGUUCAUUCAAUUGAACGGUCCACACAUGGUCAAAAGAAACACAGAUCCAAGUUAUAUGGUAUGAGCGAAUCAGGAGCUGCCACGUAACGUCGCCAACUUAAGGUACGGUAAAUGUCCAGAUUACCCUCCCUUAAGUAGCAAUUUUGGAGAAACACGUUUUCUCCUUCAAUCUUCACCUUGGCUCUCAAAAAUUGCACUCAUUCUCUCAGUUGCUGAAUUGCACAUUUGUGGAAAGCUGAACAACAUCAUUGCCCAAGGUACCUGCAAAGAAAAUUGCCCAGUAUCAAUAUUAAAAAGUGACAGACAAGUUCUAAAUUUACUUACAGGCAGAAUUUUAGUGCCCAUAUCAGAUGGAUUAAUGUCAGUAUGAAUUUUUUCAAUAACCAUUUCACCUGAAGAGAGUUUUUCUCUUAUAAAAUGAUACUUCACCUCAAUGUGUUUGGACCUUUCAUGGUAGACAGGAUUCUUGCUUAAUAAUAAGGCACUUUGAUUAUCAAUAAGUAUAACUGAUGAAGUUAACAAAAAAUUCAGUUCACUUAAAAUUCAUUUUAGCUAUAUACAUUCUUUAACACAUUCAGUAAUAGCCACUUAUUCAGCUUCAGUACUGGAUAAAGUGACGAUAGGCUAAAGUUGAGACUUCCAUGUGAUACAAUUACCACCAAGUGAAAAGAAAUAAGCAGUGGUAGAUUUUCUUUAAUCUUUACCUCCUGCAAAAUCAGAAUCCACUUACCCCUUAAGGGUUAAUGGUUCUAAUCCCUUUUUGUACACUAAACCUACCUUUAGUGUCCUAGCUAUAUACCAUAAUAGCCAUUUUAAACCAGCCCAAUGUGGUUUCCCAGGGUUAGCCAUAAACCUACUUAAAAAACUAAUUGAAUAUGCUAGGUCAGGUCUAGUUGUGAUCAUAGAAAACAUUACUGAUCCUAUUGCAUUAGAGUAAGGAAUAUUUUUCAUGUCCUUAACUUUGAAUUCAUUUUUAGGACAUUGGGCUGAGGAGAGAUUCAUGUGAGCAGCAAGUGGAACAUUAACAGACUUUGCCUCUUUCAUGCCAAAUUUUGAUAUGACUUUAUGCAGGUAAGAUUCUUGAGUUAUUGUUAACUUGUCUUGAUGUCUAUCUCUAGUUAUGACCAUACCUAGUAUUUUCUUGGCAUUCCCUAAGUCUUUCAUUUCAAAUUCUGAUUUUAGGAUGUUCUUCAUUCUUGUUAUUUCUGCCUUACUUGAACUGGCCAGCAGCAUAUCAUCUACAUACAAGAAUAGAUAUAUCUCGCUGCCAUGUUUAGAGUUGUAAUAAUACAAGCCAUGAUCAUACUCACUUCUCCUAAAACCAAUUUUCACAACAUAUGUGUCAAAUCGGACGUACCACUGUCUUGGACUUUGUUUUAGUUCAUACAUGGGUUUCUCUAAUUUACAAACAUAGUCAGAUUUCCCUUUUUCCUCAAAACCUUGAGGUUGACACAUAUAGAUGUCCUCAUCCAAUUCCCCAUGCAAAAAGGCUGUUUUGACAUCUAAUUGUUCAAGUUCUCAAUUAAACUGAACAACUAGAGCAAGCAUUAGCCUUAUAGUUUUAUAUUUGAUCACAGGUGAAAAAAUUUCUUUGCCUUAUACCUCAAAGGGUCAACUGGGGAAAUGCCUUCUUUGAGUUUAUAAAUCCACUUGCAUUGAACAACUCUCAAAUUUUUUGGUUUCUUAACAAGUUUCCGUGUUUUAUUGUCAAUCAGAGAUUUCAUUUCUUCUCUCAUGGCCUCUCUCCAAUUCUGAGACUUAAGACUAGCUAUAGCUUC